rnacentral:rRNA from 1 species
GACGAACGCUGGCGGCGUGCUUAACACAUGCAAGUCGAGCGGAAAGGCCUGCUUUCCCUUGUGGAUUGCGGGUACUCGAGUGGCGAACGGGUGAGUAACACGUGAGUGAUCUGCCCCCAACUUGGGUAUAAGCCUGGGAAACUGGGUCUAAUUCCCGAUAGGACUGCAGGGUGGUGCCUGUGGUGGAAAACGAUUUUCUAGUGGUUGGGGAUGAGCUCGCGGCCUAUCAGCUUGUUGGUGGGGUAAUGGCCUACCAAGGCGGCGACGGGUAGCCGGCCUGAGAGGGUGGACGGCCACAUUGGGACUGAGAUACGGCCCAGACUCCUACGGGAGGCAGCAGUGGGGAAUAUUGCACAAUGGGCGGAAGCCUGAUGCAGCGACGCCGCGUGGGGGAUGACGGCCUUCGGGUUGUAAACUCCUUUCGACCGCGAGGAAGCCACCUGGUUGGAAGGGUGGUGACGGUAGUGGUAGAAGAAGCACCGGCUAACUACGU